rnacentral:rRNA from 1 species
UACGUAGGUGGCGAGCGUUGUCCGGAUUUACUGGGCGUAAAGGGAGCGUAGGCGGACUUUUAAGUGAGAUGUGAAAUACCCGAGCUCAACUUGGGUGCUGCAUUUCAAACUGGAAGUCUAGAGUGCAGGAGAGGAGAAUGGAAUUCCUAGUGUAGCGGUGAAAUGCGUAGAUAUUAGGAGGAACACCAGUUGCGAAGGCGGCUCUCUGGACUGUAACUGACGCUGAGGCACGAAAGUGUGGGGAUCAAACAGGAUUAGAUA